rnacentral:lncRNA from 1 species
UCAAUCUCCUCGGUUCAAUUAGUCUGACUACCAAAGCUCCCAGACUACAACCAUCAUCGAUCUGAAGUUCUGAACCAGAUCUGAUCGACCACAUCCUGAUCAAAUCAAAACUUCGACCAAUCCUUUCUCCUCGUGAAACUUUAAUGAAAAAAAAAGUGGUCAUGAAGAGUGUUGCAUUGUAAUCUGCAGACUCAAAUACCCAAUGAAGAAGAUGAUGUAUAUGGUCAUCAAGAAAUGGAAUUCGACGGAGCUGCCUGGCCCCAAAGGGGUGGUGCGCCCAAUUUGAAGAACACAAGGAAUUAUUAAAAAAUAAUAAUAAUAAAAUAAAUCCUUUUGUUUUUUAUUUUUUGAAGAAGAAUUUACAAUAAAAAAAAGAAUAAAGGGUAAAUAAUCAUUUUACAACAAAAACAUGUUUUCCGUCGAUCUAUUUAACGGAGCUAACAGAUUCAAAUAUCAUUCUUCAUUGGACGUAAGAACGUGAGAUACCCUUCUCUAAUCACAGGAGUUUUUGUAAUUUCUUUCUUUUUAUUUUAAUUUAUUGGUCUUACUAUUUGAUCUAAUUACAUAAAGAUCAAACAGAGAACUAAUUAUGUAAGCUUGACAUGUGAACUAAUUAUAAUUGUUUAUGCAAUAAAAGUAACAUUAGCACGACGUACCAGGGAAUUAAAGAAGAAGAUAAAAGCUUUAGCUCGAGCAAUAAAACUUAAACAAUCAAUAACUAUGAGGAUGUACCAAAUAUAUAAGCCAUAAUUAACAAGUUAUAUUAGAUAAAUGAGGAACGGUGAUCAAUAAAGAUAUAUUAAGGAGAUGGUAAAAGUGUUCUCUAUAUAUUCACAGUUGAUCUUACAUGUUCAAAAUCUUCCUUCCACAUUGACAGAAACUAUACCUAUAUUUAUAUGCAUUGAUGCCCCCGUAUAAUGAUCAGCUCGAUCGCCGGCCUCGACCGCAGUUUGGAGCCAUGGCCGGGCAAGGAGACAAAGAUUAGAGAUGAGUACCUGUACUUCCAUAUACUUCCCUGGCUAAGAGUUGAGGAGCUUGCAGAGAAUAGAUUGAGGUGCCCAUCGAGCAACAGGAAGAACAGCAAACACAGAUUACCAGCAACAAGCUAGCCAUAUGGUUUCCUUACAUUUCUGGCUCCUGCUCUGUUGAUUUUGUUGUGCUAUUUAUACUAAAC